rnacentral:rRNA from 1 species
GAUGAACGCUGGCGGCGUGCCUAAUACAUGCAAGUCGAGCGAACGGACGAGAAGCUUGCUUCUCUGAUGUUAGCGGCGGACGGGUGGGUAACACGUGGAUAACCUACCUAUAAGGCUGGGAUAACUUCGGGAAACCGGAGCUAAUACCGGAUAAUAUUUUGAACCGCAUGGUUCAAAAGUGAAAGACGGUCUUGCUGUCACUUAUAGAUGGAUCCGCGCUGCAUUAGCUAGUUGGUAAGGUAACGGCUUACCAAGGCAACGAUGCAUAGCCGACCUGAGAGGGUGAUCGGCCACACUGGAACUGAGACACGGUCCAGACUCCUACGGGAGGCAGCAGUAGGGAAUCUUCCGCAAUGGGCGAAAGCCUGACGGAGCAACGCCGCGUGAGUGAUGAAGGUCUUCGGAUCGUAAAACUCUGUUAUUAGGGAAGAACAUAUGUGUAAGUAACUGUGCACAUCUUGACGGUACCUAAUCAGAAAGCCACGGCUAACUACGUG